AUUGAACGCUGGCGGCAGGCCUAACACAUGCAAGUCGAGCGGAUGAAGGGAGCUUGCUCCUGGAUUCAGCGGCGGACGGGUGAGUAAUGCCUAGGAAUCUGCCUGGUAGUGGGGGAUAACGUCCGGAAACGGGCGCUAAUACCGCAUACGUCCUGAGGGAGAAAGUGGGGGAUCUUCGGACCUCACGCUAUCAGAUGAGCCUAGGUCGGAUUAGCUAGUUGGUGGGGUAAAGGCCUACCAAGGCGACGAUCCGUAACUGGUCUGAGAGGAUGAUCAGUCACACUGGAACUGAGACACGGUCCAGACUCCUACGGGAGGCAGCAGUGGGGAAUAUUGGACAAUGGGCGAAAGCCUGAUCCAGUCAUGCCGCGUGUGUGAAGAAGGUCUUCGGAUUGUAAAACACUUUUAGUUGGGAGGAAGGGCAGUAAGUUAAUACCUUGCUGUUUUGACGUUACCAACAGAAUAAGCACCGGCUAACUUCGUG
rnacentral:rRNA from 1 species